rnacentral:rRNA from 1 species
GAUGAACGCUGGCGGCGUGCCUAAUACAUGCAAGUCGAGCGAAUGGAUUGAGAGCUUGCUCUCAAGAAGUUAGCGGCGGACGGGUGAGUAACACGUGGGUAACCUGCCCAUAAGACUGGGAUAACUCCGGGAAACCGGGGCUAAUACCGGAUAACAUUUUGAACUGCAUGGUUCGAAAUUGAAAGGCGGCUUCGGCUGUCGCUUAUGGAUGGACCCGCGUCGCAUUAGCUAGUUGGUGAGGUAACGGCUCACCAAGGCAACGAUGCGUAGCCGACCUGAGAGGGUGAUCGGCCACACUGGGACUGAGACACGGCCCAGACUCCUACGGGAGGCAGCAGUAGGGAAUCUUCCGCAAUGGACGAAAGUCUGACGGAGCAACGCCGCGUGAGUGAUGAAGGCUUUCGGGUCGUAAAACUCUGUUGUUAGGGAAGAACAAGUGCUAGUUGAAUAAGCUGGCACCUUGACGGUACCUAACCAGAAAGCCACGGCUAACUACGUGCCAGCCGCCGCAGUAACAC